CAUCCAAUAGCUUCAUUUGAUCGAGCACUUACUCAUGGAGUUCAACAACGCUCGACUGCUCGCUGCCUUCACCCUUGCCCUGCUCCUCAUGGCCUCUGGUACUGGAGAGAACCGUAAGGAGGAACUUUUGAAUGCUCAAGAGCAUAACAUUCUGAAUGUACCUACCAGAAGGUCUAAGAAGCAUAUGAAGAAUCAAACAACAAAUGGCAUGACCAGGCAGCAAGCUUGUGGACUAAUGAGGCUAGGGAGAGAGAUGGUAAUGCUCAUAAAGUUAUUGCUUGUUGUUGUGGUUCUGAUGGGUGUUGUUGUCGUCUUCAUGUUGAAGAAGUGAUGCUAUGUUGGAAGAGAUGGUGUCAGUCAGUUGGUUCAUUUUGGUAUGAUGAUGCAUGCCAUGUUGCAAUGUUGUUAGUUAGUAAGUGCAAUCAGCCUUAAUUUUCCCCAUGUCAUGUGGUAUAUUUUUAUUUAAUGUGAUGUGUUGGUGUGUUGAAGUAUUAA